GAGUAGGUCCAGGUCUCAUAUCCACUCCUCCUUAUGGUGUUGAGAGCUUGUGAGACAUUUGGGUUGAUUAAAACAAGGUAUAAUGGCCUGUGCCAGUCUGCAUAUGCAUUCUGCAUGCUCAAAGAGUUCCAUUGAUUUCUUCUAUAAUGUGUGCCAAAAGAAUUAAAGAUAUGCUUGGGGUCCUAGAUGUGUUCAUCUUUUUCUUGAUGUUUCGAUAUUCUGCGGGAUGUCGGCGAACAGUUACAAGGUGCACAUGAUCUCCUGUUCUUUUCUUGAUGUCACCUGGUGAGAUUUCUCCAGCUCCUCUUUGUGGCAUAGAUUUUCUUGAUGUCUUCACUAACUUAUUUGUUGUACUUGCUCAAGAAGGCAUUACUUUGUAAAAUGAAUAUGCUUAGUUUGCUUGUAUAUUUUGGAACUUUUGUAAUUCUCAAAAAAUAGAGUUGUGUUUAUUCUUAUCUGGUGGAUUUUAUAAUAGAAGAUACAAGAUUACAAUAGGUGUAGAGUGCUUGCACUUCAAAAUAUGAUGUUACCAGUCAGAUUGUUUCAAUUAUGUAGCGUUCGUUUAAAUAUAUUGCAUAUCACACCAGAAAUGGUUAGUACCUACUGUACUGAUUGAUCAUAUUAGGAAUUUCUCAUUCAUGAGGACUAGCUUAUAUUAGAUGUUGCACACAAUUAUUUUGU